UCCCUCAUCAGCGAACAGUGGGUGGUGUCAGCAGGUCACUGCUACAAGUCCCGCAUCCAGGUGAGACUGGGAGAGCACAACAUCGAAGUUCUGGAGGGGAAUGAGCAGUUCAUCAAUGCAGCCAAGAUCAUCCGCCACCCCAAAUACAACAGCUGGACUCUGGACAAUGACAUCCUGCUGAUCAAGCUCUCCACACCUGCCGUCAUCAAUGCCCGCGUGUCAACCAUCUCUCUGCCCACCGCCCCUCCAGCUGCUGGCACCGAGUCCCUCAUCUCCGGCUGGGGCAACACUCUGAGCUCUGGUGCCGACUACCCAGACGAGCUGCAGUGCCUGGAUGCUCCUGUGCUGACCCAGGCUGAGUGUGAAGCCUCCUACCCUGGAAAGAUUACCAACAACAUGUUCUGUGUGGGCUUCCUCGAGGGAGGGUGACUCUGGUGGCCCUGUGGUCUCCAAUGGACAGCUCCAAGGAAUUGUCUCUUGGGGCUAUGGCUGUGCCCAGAAGAACAGGCCUGGAGUCUACACCAAGGUCUACAACUAUGUGGACUGGAUUAAGGACACCAUAGCUGCCAACAGCUAAAGCCUCUGGUCCCUCUGCAGUCUCUAUACCAAUAAAGUGACCCUGCUCU
rnacentral:sRNA from 1 species